rnacentral:rRNA from 1 species
AUUGAACGCUGGCGGCAGGCCUAACACAUGCAAGUCGAGCGGAUGAAGCGAGCUUGCUCCUGGAUUCAGCGGCGGACGGGUGAGUAAUGCCUAGGAAUCUGCCUGGUAGUGGGGGAUAACGUCCGGAAACGGGCGCUAAUACCGCAUACGUCCUGAGGGAGAAAGUGGGGGAUCUUCGGACCUCACGCUAUCAGAUGAGCCUAGGUCGGAUUAGCUAGUUGGUGGGGUAAAGGCCUACCAAGGCGACGAUCCGUAACUGGUCUGAGAGGAUGAUCAGUCACACUGGAACUGAGACACGGUCCAGACUCCUACGGGAGGCAGCAGUCGGGAAUAUUGGACAAUGGGCGAAAGCCUGAUCCAGCCAUGCCGCGUGUGUGAAGAAGGUCUUCGGAUUGUAAAGCACUUUAAGUUGGGAGGAAGGGCAGUAAGUUAAUACCUUACUGUUUUGACGUUACCAACAGAAUAAGCACCGGCUAACUUCGUG